rnacentral:rRNA from 1 species
AAUGAACGUUGGCAGCGUGGAUUAGGCAUGCAAGUCGAGCGACAAGGUCCUGGACGUGGAGGAGCGGCAAACGGGGUAGGUAAUACAUCGGAACGUACCCUCACGUCUGGGAUAGCCACGGGAAACUGUGGGUAAUACUGGAUAAUCUCACCGCUUGUGAAGAGUGGUGAGCAAAGGUCCGCCGCGUGAGGAGCGGCCGAUGCGAUACUAGAUAGUUGGUGGGGGUAAUGGCCUACCAAGUCUAAGAUGUCUAGGGGGUGUGAGAGCAUGGCCCCCACCACUGGGACUGAGACACUGCCCAGACACCUACGGGUGGCUGCAGUCGAGAAUCUUUGGCAAUGGGCGCAAGCCUGACCAAGCGACGCUGCGUGCGGGAUGAAGGCCC